UGUGUUUUGUCUUACCUUCCAUCAUUUCACCUGCACCUUUAGGAUAUGUGUACAGGACUUUCCUGGGAGGGAUGAGCUCUGAAGCACUGAAUCCAGAGCCGGUUACCGAGCUGCCGCUCACACCUCCAGCAGAAGAGGACGAAGAAGACGCUGCCAUUGCUUUUGGAAACUUUAAAACACGCACACACACACAAAAUAACUUUUACCAGAAUUACAUGUGAAACAUAACUUACGUACAGUAUGGAAGACUAGCGUUUUAGUAAUCAUGAAGACAGUUAACCGUAGCCAAUCCAGCCUACGAAACUAACAUUAGCUGGUUUGCUUCUUUCCUAGCUUUAUUUAUGGUAAUGGUAACGUUACACUCGAAGCUAUCAACAGCUAACGUUAGGUGGCUAACAAGAAAGCUAACUAUACUGCUGAUACCAACUUAACUUAGGCAACGACCAUUAACCAUUAAAGUUACUAGACACAAAAUAACAAUAACUAACCUUUACUAACAAUAUAACUUAGAGUCAAUGUCCCCGUAAAUCUAUAAAGACUUUAAAUCCGCGCAGUUGGUCCCGUUUGUUUAACGUUAGCUGUCUUAACGUACCACCACAGACUGUAUACGACAACGACAACGCUUUACGUUUAAAGCGAUAGCAUUCUUACCACUGAUUUUAAACCACUGGGGAUGGAUCACCUUUCACGGAGUGGUCGUUUUCUUCCGUUUGUAGAUCUACCAAACAAAAAGCGGCCACUGUGUGUCGUAAACCAAUGAAACCGAUGUGUGAACGUCAGCUAACUAGUACGUUGUGAUCAACUAGCUAGCUAAAUAAGUUUUUAAAAAGCUUCAUGAGCUAAUUUACACCCUUCUUCGUGUAGCUAAAUUAUCAGGGAGCUAUCCAGAUAUUUAUUUUUGGUGUUAGGUUAGCUUAGGGGUAGCUAACGUAAGCUAGCUUAAUUUACAUUAUGGAGGUUUUACGUCCAGCUCUUAUCAACAUAAAUGGGAGAAUAUACCGAAGGAAUGUCAUUAAGGAGGAACAUUAUGAGGAAGAAGAAGAUUUCUCUUACAUGGGACCACCUGACAGUGAAGACCUUGCAGCUGAUGAAACCUGUGAUACCCACUUCAUUGAACAGAUUGAUAAGGGAUACCGCUGUGCCAUUGACGUCCCAAGUGUUCUUUACAAAUACAUCAUUGGGAAAAAAGGAGAGACACGCAGACGUCUUGAGUAUGACACAAAGACAUCUAUCAGCAUCCCAAAACAAGGAGUGGAAGGACAGAUAGUUAUCACAGGUUCCCAUAAAGCUGCAGUCACAUCUGCAGUCACACGAGUUGAGGUCCUUGUUGAAAGUUUCCGGAAAAAGCAGCCUUUCACGCACUUCCUGUCAUUUCCUCUGAAUGAUGCAAAAGUUCAAGAAGGAUUCCUGAGAUUUAAAGAUGAGGUUUUGCAGCAGUGUUCACAGGAUCAUGGAGUAGAGGUAAGCAUCUUUCAGAACCCUGCAAAGCUUCACCUGACAAUUGGCACCAUGGCUCUGUUAAAUGACAUGGAAGUGAGAAAAGCAUGUGCACACCUCCAAGAGUGUCAACACUUCAUCAGGGACAUCACAGAAGGAAAACCACUGCCGUUGCAGGUGACAGGUAUAGAGUACAUGAAUGAUGACCCAGCCAUGGUGGACGUCUUGUAUGCCAAAGUCAACGUGAAAGACAAAUCAGACAAGUUACAGAUGAUUGCGGACCGGCUGGUAGAGCACUUUGUCUCAGCAGGGCUAAUGCUCAGAGAGUGGGACAGAGUUAAGCUGCACGGAACUGUGAUGAACACUCUGUUCAGAAAGGACUCCACAGUUGAAGACACAGGCGGCCCAGGAAGACAAAUGAAUGAAAGAGAGGCUUUUGAUGCCAGAAACAUAUUAAAGAAAUUUAGUGCUCAUUGUUUCGGGGAGUUUGAGCUGAAUACCGCCCUGUUGUCCCAGAGAUAUUCGACAGACUGUACGGGCUAUUACACCUCUGCAGGGAGCAUCAGCUUCUCAUGAGCAUCAACAGGGCCGAACAGAUUCUGAGCGAGAAGGCAGGUGAUCCCUGCAGCAGCUCUUUAUCAUUUUAAGUGCUGAGUCUGGAGGCUGCCUCCAGCUGUCCACGUCUGUUUACUGCUGGAGGCGUUCACACAGGGAGAGAGAGUGUGUUUGAACAGCAGGUGAUCGAUGAACAUUGCAGCAGGAUGGAAAGUGUUCACUGUGGCUGGCUGAUGAAGAAACUCUCAGUAGACAGUAAAGCACUGCGGUGAAACAAGUUUCCAUCAGAUGAUGAACAUGAAUGGACUUACAACAGAGUAUGUUUGCUGAACGUUUUCUUCAAAUCAGUUGGAAAAUGAACAUUUGUUUGGGUUGUGUUUUCCCUCACGGUGGCAGGAGGUGCUAUAUAUUUUAACAUUCUGUUUAAAUCUGGCAGGAGUAAAUAAAUGUGUAAAGCAUCCACCCUUGGCCUGUUGCAAUUAACUGUUGUGUACCAGGAAUUCCUGAAGCGGUCGUUAGUUGUUACAUCACGUGAGAAUAUGUGUUGCCACGAUAAGCAGCUCGUGAUGGGCCUUAUGAGCUAUUUGUAAGACAGAGGAGGGAUGUGCUGUGCUUACAUUUGUAGACAGCAAAUAUUUACAGAUAAGCAACCUUUCAAAUUUAGCUGCCUGCAGUCUUGUCUGACGUUAUUCAAAUGAAGCUUUCCUCCCUUCAACUCUAUGCUUGGUGAACAGGAUAGAUAUGUUUUAUCAACAUCUGCCUAGAGAGGAACAGGGGGGAACUGAUGACAUCAGUUAAUCUCUUUACAAUGAAAGUCGCUCUUCCACAGCGUGACUCUGAUAUGUAGAAGUAGAUGUUAAACAAGUUGUGUGGAGCUGCUUCCAUAUUUAAAAUAUAAGAAGCUGCACGUCACGUUGAACUCAACUCAAACAUUUUUGCUGAAGCAAUCAUUGGGGGACUGUUAUAUCAUGAAACAAUAUGCACACACUCAACAAGGAAAUAGAAAACAAAAAUAAAGUCAAUUCAAGCAUUACAGCCCAUUUUAGUAUAAACCCAGCCCAGUAUAAUAUGGUCUGUUUAAAGGCUGUAAUAGCAGGAAUUUGUCUCAUGAAUUAGGAUUAGGCUCUUCGGUCUAUCAUGGUUCCAUAUCACUGCUGUUUCUGCUGAUUGGAGAAACAAUAUAUGAAUCAGAAUGAAAUGACAAUUCCAUCAGUUUAUCAGGCUAUUUUCAACCUAUUGAAUAUAGCUCAAGUUCAGUUUUGUUGUUAUAUGGCAAUUAGCAUUAAAAAGACCAAACCUGCA